AAGGCCUCCAUGCGUGAAGAACCGCGUCAUUAUCACAUUAUCAAAAUAUAUAUGAAAAACUUUUGUAGGAAAUUCAUAUUAACCAAAAUAUACCAAGGGCAAAAAUACGAUAUUAUUAAGCCAAAAGCCGAGAUCAACAUUUAUAUAUCCUAGGAAGUUGCGUAAUCAUGAUAAAAUGCAAAUGAUAGUCGUAGUGAUGAAUAAAACUGCAGAGACGUCAAAAUAAAAAAAAUAAAACCUUAAUGAGAUUGUCGUCGGCGUGGAAAAGAUUGAGACACAUGUUCGACAAUAAUUCACCCGACAUCUUUUUUGAGGGGAAAAUUCUCUUGAAAUACUCCCUUAAACUACCAUCCGUCUCGCUAAUUAGAUAAAUCCACGCGGUUAAUAAUCUUCUUAAAUCAUUAUAUCUAAUGAAAGAAAGAGAAUCAAUGAUUAGUGCUUUAGUGGCGAAUACAAGGCGAUAAAAGACAUGAAAUAAAGACGGACCGGCACCCGCGCCAGGCCAGGUUGGAGCUCGGCCGAGAGAGGUAACAGCCUCAGUGCUGAUCGAGACGUGGUGAGAGGUUGACGUACGCUGACUCGCGUUGGGAAAUUUAACUGAAGUGCCGUUCACGAAUUUUGAGGAAAUAUUAAUUGUGUUUUAAGUGUGAGAUUAUAUAGUGCAGGUACGUAGGCUACAGCACUCCAUCAAAGGUGUCUCUGAAGGUAGGAU